rnacentral:rRNA from 1 species
CACGUAGGGGGCGAGCGUUGUCCGGAAUCAUUGGGCGUAAAGAGCUCGUAGGCGGCUCGGUAAGUCGGGUGUGAAACCCCCAGGCUCAACCUGGGGACGCCACCCGAUACUGCUGUGGCUAGAGUCCAGUAGGGGAGUGUGGAAUUCCCGGUGUAGCGGUGAAAUGCGCAGAUAUCGGGAGGAACACCAGCGGCGAAGGCGGCACUCUGGGCUGGAACUGACGCUGAGGAGCGAAAGCGUGGGUAGCAAACGAGG